rnacentral:rRNA from 1 species
UGGGGGAUAUUGCACGAUGGGGGGAACCCUGAUGCAGCGACGCCGCGUGGGUGAAGAAGCGCCUCGGCGCGUAAAGCCCUGUCAGCAGGGAAGAAAAUGACGGUACCUGAAGAAGAAGCCCCGGCUAACUACGUGCC